rnacentral:rRNA from 1 species
AGGACGAACGCUGGCGGCGUGCCUAACACAUGCAAGUGGAGCGACGAACCAGGCUUCGGCCUGGGGCAGAGCCGCGAACGGGUGAGUAACACGUGGGUAACCUGCCCUGAUGAUUGGGACAACCCGAGGAAACUCGGGCUAAUACCGAAUGUGCCCUCCGGCCUCAAGGCCGCUGGGGAAAGGAAGCUUCGGCCUCCGCAUCGGGAUGGGCCCGCGGCCCAUUAGCUUGUUGGUGAGGUAACGGCUCACCAAGGCAACGAUGGGUAGCUGGUCUGAGAGGACGAUCAGCCACACUGGGACUGAGACACGGCCCAGACUCCUACGGGAGGCAGCAGUGGGGAAUCUUGCGCAAUGCGCGAAAGCGUGACGCAGCAACGCCGCGUGGGGGAAGACGGCCUUCGGGUUGUAAACCCCUUUCAGCAGGGACGAAGCGAAAGUGACGGUACCUGCAGAAGAAGCGCCGGCUAACUACGCGCCAGCAGCCGCGGU